UGCCGUGAAACAUUGUAUAAAAGGUGCACGCGUUGUUUUGUGUCUCUUUUUGUCAUUCCAUUGUAGAAAUAUCGUGAUUGAAGUUAGCAUGUGCUGUAUGUAAAGUUAUUACUUGGUAAUUGAUAGGUGUAAUUUGAUGAUGCACAUGAAUUUAUCGAUAUCACAGGGUCGGAUUUGACCAUACUGCGAUGUUGUAAAUUAGGAAUUGGUAACAUGACUUGUGAUUGUGCGCUAUGUAAUUUUCCUGUAUCUCAUUUCAGUAAAAGGUUUUCUUAAAUAUAUCUUCACAGGGUCUGGAAAGUAGACCAUGCAGUGAGAUAUUGUAAGCUUAAUCCUUGUUGUUAACUGUGUAUUCCAUAAUCUGUCCGUCACAUGUGGUUAAGUCUAUGUGAGGAUUGUAGGUUUAUCCCUUAGUAUUGAAGUAUGGAUGCAGUUAGAUUAUGUACAUACUCACAGGGUCUUGAAAGCAAACCAUGGCGUGAGAUAUGCAUGUCACGAGUCCUAUGGUUUGUGUCAUGUAUCUAACUAUUGAUAGGUAGAAUAAGUAGUUGUUGUACAAUCUACAAAAAUACGGUUUGUAGAAUCUGGCAGAACAUUUAAUUAUGCCACAAGGGUAAACUUUAUUUAAAAUUGGGGUCUUAGACUAAUCAUCCCAGAUGUUUUGUAAAAUGGCGCCCAGGGUCUGGCAAACAUUUUUGUGACUGCACAGUAUGGCAGUCAUUACGUAUAGUAUGUACCAUAUAGGUUAAUACCUUUAAGUAAUAUAUAUAAUAUAUAAUAGGGACUGAUUGCCCAAAGCAGUCCGAAGCAGUCCUAGCCAGUUCCGCGUUUCAACGUGGUGUGAAUAGGUGAUAUAUUCGGUCAAUAUCAUUAAAAAUGACUGUAAAGAAAGGCGAACAUGGGUCGAACGGCAUGCGGAACGGCCCUGGACAAACUACCCCAUUGGUUCCACAAAAUUACAUUAAGGAGAUAAGUGGAUGGUUUUGGAGAGAUGUUGUGAUUUUUAAUGAAACAUUGAAUAAUGAUGUGAUUGUGUAUUGGGGCUAUAGCAAACUUCACAGAGUCUCGGGUUGACCAUGCUUGUGAAGUAUGUUAGCGGAUGGUAUAUCAUAUGGAAGAUACAGUAUAUAUAGUUGUGUUAAUUGUACUUUUUCAUUUGUUUGGCCCUCGACGCGUUUCGGUCUCUUGACCUUCAUCAGGAGGGGCUUUUAGGGAUGGGAGUCGAUGUUUUGUUGGUUAGUGGCGUGAAAAAUGGUAGUGAGAUUGGUGUUGUUCAUAAUGAGUGAUGGAGAAAUGGUGAGUGGUAAAAUGAUGGAAAACAAUGAAACAUUGAUGAAAUAAAUAUGAAAUAAAUGAUAAAAAACAUUGGAACCCAGAAAAAUCUUAGUUUAACUAUCUUAACGUAAAAGACUUACUGAAUGAUUUGUUUGGUGGCAGUCCGCAUCGCCCAGCCAUUUUACUGCUGGGGUUGACUAUUUUCAAUUCCCCCGAGUACGUUAUCCUUUUAUUUUUUGGUUGUUCGCCAAAUGUGCGUAUUCAAGAAUGGGUGUUGUGCCCUUGAAGUCCAGUUUUAGUAAGUUGUUCUUGAAUAGUUGACGUCAUGUGGUUUGGUAGCGUGCAUGUUUGUCAGGUGUUAAUUAGGUAUCAGUUUGUAUGUAUAAUUAGAGUGUGAUGUGCCGUGGGCUAAACUGAUAACCAGGGAAUGUGUAAAAAAAAAAAAAAAUUUUGUAUAGACAUAAGUGUGAGAAUUGCUUGUCUGCCCCCAGAGCUAGUUGGUGAAGGAGGGAAUUGAAUUGGACCAGGCAUAUGCAUUUACAAAAAAUGCAUAUAAAACAUAAAAAAAACACAUAAACACUCGUAGAAAUAUUAAUAGUAUUAUGUACAUCAUGAUGCGUAUUUAUGUUAUUAUAUACAAAUUGUCGCGCGUGCAUGGUAGGAUCCAUAUACAUAUUGUGGUAUAUACACCGACUGUGUAUAUGAAUUUAAUUAAUUAGGAUUUCAUUUUCCUUUGUUUAAACCUCGGUGAUGUGAUGUGAUGUAGAUGGGAUGCAAUUGUCCCUAUAGUUUGUAGCUAUUUGAUUUAUAAAUAAUAUGUAUCUCUAAAGAGUGAGAAAGGCUUAAAAAAGAGUAGCAGUAGGCUGAAAAUUAUGAAAAAGUUCAUCGUCGAAUUUUAGUUAUCUGAUGGCACGAUAAGUUUUUUGUUGUUGAUUGCAGGAAAAAAAAAAAAUUCCAACUAGAUUGCAAGAGUCUUCCUUAUAUCUCUUGUUUUUCUUUUGUCCCCCCAUCAUCAUGCCUUUUUUGUUUUGGUAUUGUCUUCAGACAUCAUCAUUCUCUAUCUUGGUCUUUGGUGUAUGUUUUCAAAUAAGCAUGACAGC
rnacentral:lncRNA from 1 species